rfam:Rattus norvegicus chromosome 2, whole genome shotgun sequence.
GGGGAUUUAGCUCAGUGGUAGAGCGCUUGUCUAGCAACCACGAGGCCCUGGGUUCGGUCCCCAGCUCCA